GUUAAGAUGGCAGAGCCCGGUAAUUGCGUAAAAUUUAAGACUUUA
rnacentral:tRNA from 1 species